CUAGUCGCUGAUACAGGGCUGGCUUCGCUGGGAGUGCCGCUUUUGGCAUUCCCGUACCCAUGUUGCUUCAAGGAGGAUAUGGUUAUGGCAA
rnacentral:sRNA from 1 species